rnacentral:rRNA from 1 species
AUACGGAGGAUGCGAGCGUUAUCCGGAUUUAUUGGGUUUAAAGGGAGCGUAGGCGGGAGCUUAAGUCAGCGGUUAAAUGGUGCGGCUCAACCGUGCCCUGCCGUUGAAACUGGGUUUCUUGAGAGUGCAAGAGGCGGAUGGAAUUCAUGGUGUAGCGGUGAAAUGCUUAGAUAUCAUGAAGAACUCCGAUUGCGAAGGCAGUCCGCUGGGGCACGUCUGACGCUGAUGCUCGAAGGUGCGGGAAUCAAACAGGAUUAGAUACCCUGGUAGUCCGCACGGUAGACGAUGAUUACCCGCUGUCGGCGGUAGACAGUCGGCGGCCAAGCGAAAGCGAUAAGUAAUCCACCUGGGGAGUACGCCGGCAACGGUGAAACUCAAAUGAAUUGACGGGG